rnacentral:rRNA from 1 species
GCUAAUACCGGAUACGACCUUUGAUCGGCAUCGAUCGGGGUGGAAAGUUCCGGCGGUCAAGGAUGGGCUCGCGGCCUAUCAGCUUGUUGGUGAGGUAACGGCUCACCAAGGCUUCGACGGGUAGCCGGCCUGAGAGGGCGACCGGCCACACUGGGACUGAGAUACGGCCCAGACUCCUACGGGAGGCAGCAGUGGGGAAUAUUGCGCAAUGGGCGAAAGCCUGACGCAGCAACGCCGCGUGCGGGAUGACGGCCUUCGGGUUGUAAACCGCUUUCAGCAGGGACGAAGCAACACGUGACGGUACCUGCAGAAGAAGCACCGGCCAACUACGUGCCAGCAGCCGCGGUGAUACGUAGGGUGCGAGCGUUGUCCGGAAUUAUUGGGCGUAAAGAGCUUGUAGGCGGUCUAUUGCGUCGAAAGUGAAAACUCAGGGCUCAACCCUGAGCCUGCUCUCGAUACGGGUAGACUUGAGGGAUGUAGGGGAGAACGGAAUUCUUGGUGGAGCGGUGGAAUGCGCAGAUAUCAGGAGGAACACCGGUGGCGAAGGCGGUUCUCUGGACAUUUCCUGACGCUGAGAAGCGAAAGCGUGGGUAGCAAACAGGCUUAGAUACCCUGGUAGUCCACGCCGUAAGCGGUGGGUACUAGGUGUGGGGGACAUUCCACGUUCUCCGUGCCGCAGCUAACGCAUUAAGUACC